rnacentral:rRNA from 1 species
GACAGAGGCCUCAAGCGUUAGGCGGAAUCACUGGGCUUAAAGCGUGUGUAGGUGGUAUGCCUAAGUACCAUUGUGUAAAUCCCACGGCUUAACCGUGGAACUGCUUGGUAUACUGGGUGUCUUGAGCCGGCUAGGGGGCGAGCGGAACAGACGGUGGAGCGGUAGAAAUGCGUAGAUAUCGUCUGGAACGCCGAAGGUGAAAACAGCUCGCUGGGGCCGCGCUGACGCUGAGACACGAAAGCCAGGGGAGGCGAACGGG